UACAGAGGUCUCGAGCGUUAGGCGGAAUCACUGGGCUUAAAGCGUGUGUAGGUGGAUUGGUAAGUACCUUGUGAAAUCCCACGGCUCAACCGUGGAACUGCUGGGUAUACUGGCGGUCUUGAGCCACCUAGGGGCAACUGGAACAAGCGGUGGAGCGGUGAAAUGCGUAGAUAUCGCUUGGAACGCCAACGGUGAAAACAGGUUGCUGGGGGUGUGCUGACGCUGGAGACACGAAAGCCAGGGAAGCGAACGGG
rnacentral:rRNA from 1 species